GACGAACGCUGGCGGCGUGCUUAACACAUGCAAGUCGAGCGGUAAGGCCCUUUCGGGGGUACACGAGCGGCGAACGGGUGAGUAACACGUGGGUGACCUGCCUUUAGCUCUGGGAUAAGCCUGGGGAAACUGGGUCUAAUACCGGAUAUGACCCUAUGGCGCAUGUUGUGGGGUGGAAAGCCUUGUGCGGCUAGGGAUGGGCCCGCGGCCUAUCAGCUUGUUGGUGGGGUGAU
rnacentral:rRNA from 1 species